AGUGCCCUGGUGCUGUGAACUUCCCCUGGCUUGCCAGAGCCCUGCAAAAAUAAAUCUCCGGAGAAAUAGAUUUUGAAGAGGAAUUCGGUACAUAGAUCUUCUGUCAGCGGAGCAGACUCUGGCUCAGCCGUUUUUCAGGCUCGCUGAGUAUCCAGAAAUACAUCUAUUUUUACAUGGCUCUCUAGCGAGAGUUCCUCUUGCCUGGAGGGGUUGGAGGCCGUGGAAGAAGUCAGAGGAUGGGAGAGGAGAGGGGUGCGGGCACUGACUGGAGAAGGACAGGAAGGUGACCGUGCAGUGCUGGUCUUUCCGGUUUUCCUGCAUCCUGCAGGGCCUUGGGUUUGCCAACCAAGUUUGGGUUUGCCUCGUCGCUAUGCAGGCUCUGUGUGUCCCUUGGCCCACCGGACCCAUUUUAGUAACAGGCCUGAUGUCCCCGGAGAAGACAAUACACUACGGCAGUUUAGCGCGCGCGCACAAAAAGCUGCAGCACCGCCCGGGGCUCGCUGUUUGUUCUCGGCCUAGAUGUCGUGGUGAACAGCAGGAGCCAUGGACCAGAUGGCUGGAGGGAGGUGCGAGCGGAUCGCACUGGCAGGCAAUUAGGCCUCAAACAAUGGCCCGUGAAAUGUCAGAAGUGGCAAGGAAGGGUCGUGGUGGAACAGCGGGGUGACCACCACUCGCAUGAAGAUCAGAGGACUUCUCUUCUUCCACCAUGAGAGGCCAAGAGAUUGAACUCAAGUUGUCAGGGUUUGGAGGCAAGAACCGUCACGUUUGGCAGCAAAGACCUCUACCUACUGAGCCGUCUCCAUAGCCCUGCUGAGAUAGUUUCAUAACGAUAAAUGCACUCUACUUUUUGAUGUGUUCUCAGUUCCAAAAUCGUCUCCCUGUGUGCGUGUGCGUGUGCGCUUGUGUGUGUGUACUUACUCAUGUCUUUUUAUGUACAAAAGAUGGGUUCCUUCAUGUAUAGUUGGAGACAUGCUGGGUGCUGGGUGAUCUGACUGGGAGGAAAACCAGGAGUCAGGUCUCUUCUGCCCCUUUGUGGGAUCCUGGAUCAAACUCAGGUUGUCAGGACUGCAUGGCAGUGUCUACCUGCUGAGCUGCCUCACCAGUCCCCUUUCCUUUUUCAACAUGUAGAGGCCAAGUAUGUCACUGGUUCUACACAGUGGUACACAGCAGACAGAAAGAGUUAAGAAGCAACAGCUAUACUGCAGUUAAGUCCUGCCUUUUGGUUGUUUGGUUGUUUGGUUGUUUGGUUGGUUUGGUUUGGUUUUGGUUUUGGUUUGAGACAGCCUUUCUCUCUGUAGCCCUGGCUAUCCUGAAACUCACUCUGUAGACCAGGCUGGCUUUGAACUUACAGAGAUCCAGCUGCCUCUGCCUCCUGAGUGCUGGGAUUAAAGAUGUGCACCAUCAUCACCCGGCUUAGUUAUUUCUACCAUUCACUAUUAUUUAGUUAGUGUUAUUUAGUUCCUUGAAUAUGUUGUCCACAAAAAUUCUCUCAAAUAAUUAACUACUUCAUCCUGUGGAAUAAAAGAUUUGAGUGAGGCAGACCUAAGUUUGAAGUCUGUCUACUUAUCACUGGC
ensembl:lincRNA